UCUCCGUUGGUGAACCAGCGGAGGGAUCAUUACCGAGUUUACAACUCCCAAACCCCUGUGAACAUACCAUUUGUUGCCGCGGCGGUGCCUGCUUCGGCAGCCCGCCAGAGGACCCAAACCCUUGAUUUUAUACAGUAUCUUCUGAGUAAAUGAUUAAAUAAAUCAAAACUUUCAACAACGGAUCUCUUGGUUCUG
rnacentral:misc_RNA from 1 species